CCUACGGGAGGCUGCAGUGGGGAAUAUUGGACAAUGGGGGCAACCCUGAUCCAGCCAUGCCGCGUGUGUGAAGAAGGCCCUCGGGUUGUAAAGCACUUUCAGUGAGGAAGAACGCCUGGUGGUGAAUACCCAUCAGGAAAGACAUCACUCACAGAAGAAGCACCGGCUAACUCCGUGCCAGCAGCCGCGGUAAUACGGAGGGUGCGAGCGUUAAUCGGAAUUACUGGGCGUAAAGCGCGCGUAGGUGGCUUGAUAAGCCGGUUGUGAAAGCCCCGGGCUCAACCUGGGAACGGCAUCCGGAACUGUCAAGCUAGAGUGCAGGAGAGGAAGGUAGAAUUCCCGGUGUAGCGGUGAAAUGCGUAGAGAUCGGGAGGAAUACCAGUGGCGAAGGCGGCCUUCUGGACUGACACUGACACUGAGGUGCGAAAGCGUGGGUAGCAAACAGGAUUAGAUACCCGUGUAGUC
rnacentral:rRNA from 1 species